GGAUGGGGGUUUGUUGAAGCCACGGCUUUUUUGCUUUCUUAGAGCUGGCACGCGGGCAUUGGAUUGUGUCAUUCGUAGGAGGUGAACGUCAAAGGAAGUGGGAUCAACUGCUGGAGGAGGUUUGUAAGCCAGUCAUUUCAUCCUCUCUCUAACCAGUUCCUGCUGGAGAAAAGACAAUGGAAAAAAAGAAAAGAAAUCCAAAUCACUGAAAUGUUAGGUGAGAGAUGAAGCCCUCAGUCCUGCUAGUAAUCAUCACCUUGAGAUGGAUCAGCACCUUAAGAAGAUACCAUAUUGUUCUGUCUUUGAAAAGCUGGCAGCUAAUUUUGAAAACAAAAAGGCCUGUACAGUGAUUACUGGAGUGAACCUUGCAGCUAUCCAGAUAUUACUCAAAGAAAGAAAAUCCUUGACAGACUUGAAGUGAUGAGUAAUGACUCCACUUUCUUCCAGUCCAGCUGCCACACAGGCGUGUACGUUGGUUCCUCGUUGGCCCAGCAAAUUUGAACGUCUUAACCUUUUCUUGUUGUCCCACGUCUGCCCUAUCACUUAUUGGUUGCUCGCUGUUGCGGUAUGGCAGGGUCGUCUUCUCACAGCAGACACUGCAAUUGUUUUUACAAGAAGAAAGAAAAUCCCCCACUGAUAAACAGUGGUACACGUCUAGGGAAAAUGUCAGCACUUAAACCCGAGUCUUGCUUUUCCCUCUGAGUUGUCAUUGCUGGAUCCUCUGCCCUUCCUUACAAGUGGGUUUGAGGAGGUGGUUGUUUUGGCUGGAAUUGGAGAGGCACAGGUGGUACCACCAGCUGUAAAUUGGAGGAGGCACUUCCUGAUUAUGACCACUGCCUACACGCAGAUCAUUGCCAAGAGAGGAGCUGGAAGGCGCAGAAGCCUUCUCCUUACUUGGAAAAAGGGCCUGGAGGAUAAUCAUUGCUCCCCUCUCCUGCAGGCUUUCACCUGCAGGAUUCGGGCUGCUUUGCAAGCGCUUGGCUUCCCAAAAUGCUGUGAUGUGAAAAACCCUCAGCCAUCACUGAGAGACGGAUAAACUGAGGCACUGAGUAUUUAAUUUCAUGCAUCUAACGUUUAGGCACUCGGGUCCGUAUAAAGGCACCGGGAGCUCAGGAGAUGCAAGUGCAUGGUGCAUUUGAAAGCCAGAUUACUUUUUUAAGGGACUUCAGCAUAGAUCCAGAUGUCUGCUUAACCACGGUAAAAUAAGUGGUGAAUAACUCCUUGAUCUCCGCAAGGUCCAGAUUUUGCCCUCCGGCUUUAAAUGUCAAUGGCAAGAGGCUUGUACCAAGCUGCAGAGCGAGCACCGGGCUCUCCUGCGACGAGUUUGGGAUGUUGCUCUUGGGGGCUGUUUUCAGAGGGCACUGCCGGCUACCUGCAUAGGCAGGACCGUCCUGGUCUCAACUGCAAGCACACACCGCCAUUUGCAGUUAUGUAUUUUUAUCGCCAGGUUACAGUUUUUUAAUUAUUAUAUGGUGCUCUUGCCUCCACCUUCACAUAAUGGAGGCCUCUGUUGCUGGCCCUGACUUGCCUUGUCCUCAGGAAAUUUGGGGUGCCUUGACUCCUCGUCUGCUGAAAGCCCUUUCCCUGGGAUGAUCCCUCGGCCCAUUGCUGCCUCACGGUCUUGGUUUUCAUCUUGUGUCCUAAACGUGGGUCCACUGCACGGCAAGCAGCAAGCGAGGGAGAGGCGUCAGAGGAUUAACCCACCACCGCGUGCUCCUCGCCCACGCACACGAGGAGAGAGCCAGAUUAAAAGAUUAAAGUUACAAACUGAAAACCCCCUCGGGCUACUGAUGAGAUCUGAGCGCCUGGCUGCGAAGCCAAACUCCCACUCCGGAGGUGCAGUGCCGCGCGCGCGCUGUCGCUCACGCCGGAGCUGCCGGCUCCCGCCAUCCCUUCCUGCUGCCAGCUCCAGCUAUUUUUAUAGUCCGAGAAUUAAAUAAUAAACCAGUUUUGCCCUGAAGGAGGGUCCUGAGCAAUGCCUCGGCAAUACCCGGGGGCUCAGGGGGGUAGUUUUACGCUCCUCCUUGUUGCACUUCUGAGCUUUUGGGGUUUCCAGCUUCCACUGGUGCCUCGUUUGCUCGUGUUGCAGCCGCUGGAUU